rnacentral:rRNA from 1 species
ACAACGACUACAUUAGAUACCCCCGUAGUCCUAGCCGUAAACGAUACUCGCUAGGUGUCGGCCACGGUGCGACCGUUGUCGGUGCCGUAGGGAAGCCGUGAAGCGAGCCACCUGGGAAGUACGGCCGCAAGGCUGAAACUUAAAGGAAUUGGCGGGGGAGCACAACAACGGGUGGAGCUUGCGGUUUAAUUGGAUUCAACGCCGGAAAUCUUACCGGGACCGACAGCAACACGAAGGCCAAGCUGAAGACUUUGCCGGAUUAGCUG